GACGAACGCUGGCGGCGUGCUUAACACAUGCAAGUCGAGCGGUAAGGCCCUUCGGGGUACGACGAGCGGCGAACGGGUGAGUAACACGUGGGUGACCUGCCCUUAGCUCUGGGAUAAGCCUGGGAAACUGGGUCUAAUACCGGAUAUGACCUCAUGACGCAUGUUGUGGGGUGGAAAGCCUUGUGCGGCUAGGGAUGGGCCCGCGGCCUAUCAGCUUGUUGGUGGGGUGAUGGCCACCAAGGCGACGACGGUAGCGGCCUGAGAGGGCGACCGGCCACACUGGG
rnacentral:rRNA from 1 species